CUUGCCUGCUGCCAUGUAAGAUGUGACUUUGCUCUUCCUUCAUCUUCCGCCAUGAUUGUGAGGCCUCCAAGCCAUGCGGAACUGACCCACCUGCCAUGCUGUGAGGACACCCAGGCCACAUAGAGAGAGUGAGGCCACAUGUAGGUUUUACAGCCAGAAGCCCCACUGAAAACCAAACCUGCAACCAGCAUCAACUGCCAAACAUGUACUGAAGAGGCUGAGAUGAUUCCAGCACUUGUGGAUGACUGCAACCACAUGAGAGACCCAGAGCAAGAGCUACCUAGCUGAGCCCAGUUACUCCCAGAAUCAUGAGAGAACUAUGUAAUUGAUUGUUAUUACUAU
rnacentral:lncRNA from 10 species